rnacentral:tRNA from 1 species
UGCCCUCUAGUGCAACGGCAGCACGACUGACUCUGGAUCAGUUAAUCGGGGUUCGAAUCCCUGGGGGGCAA